GGCGAGCGGCCGCUAACGGACCCCUGAGGGGCCCGGCCCCCUCAGCGUCGGCGUCCUCUGCGCCCCGCCUCUUUCGCCCUGGUUCCCAGGCCACAUGCCUUCGGGUCGCCCGCGCAGCGUUUCUACUGCCGCCUUUCUCGCCCUCCCAAGGGUUGGCCCCGCGCUCCCCGGCCUGCGGGACGCGCGCCGGGCUCGCGGCGCCGCCCACAGACCCCGACGGGGCCUUCCGCUCCGCCCGGGCAACCCGUACGUCGAGGACAGCCUGCCGCGGGGCUUGCUGAGGAGACGCCUGAAGGCCCAGAUACAGUUGGAGGUUCAUUAUCCAAGAUAUUGCAGAUUGGAAUUGUAACCCUGUCAUGUUGCCCUGUCACAUCUGGAAGGAACUGUUCAUUGCCAGAAAGAAAAGCACCUUCUCCAGCACUCAUGGAUCCCAGUUAGUGGUGUUUACUGAAGUGAGAAAGGAUUUGCAGCUGUUUGGAGCCUGAGUGGCAGAUGAAACCAACUUGGAGACUUCCGGGGCACAAGUAUGAGUUACAACCCAGAGGCUGUAGGGGGCACAGAUAGCACAUAGGCCACCUCCAUACUCGGAGAGCUGAGGAGAUCUCAGGAUGGGCACACAUCCAGAGGUUUGUCUUUGGGAAAUUCAGGGAUCACCCACUGUACAUCCAGACGCUGGCCUGAAUGGAGAGGAGACGUGCCAUUGCCUUGGAGCAGGGCAGGCUGCAUGGAGAACAAGAAGGCUUCCUGCCUCCUCCAACUUUGGAUACACUGGAAAGCUGGACGGCCAUCAGAAUUUGCCAUCAGUGGACUAAAUGAACAAGCUGGUUACCUCAGUGGAAAUUCCACAAGGAGAUAAAUCCCUUCCUAUGACCUCAAUAUUUCAAUGGAAUGCUUCCUGGCAUUAAAGUCUCUAAGCCCCACUGGUUGGGCCCAAAUUCAAGGAAAGCCCAAAAAGUCUGCAAACUGGAAAAGUGAAAUGGACAAUGUAAAUAUCAUAAAGAGAUGACAUCUGAAACAGUUUUAAAAUAAGAGGGAAUGACUUCUUCAAGUCUUAACAUGAGUCCUUGAGAACUGAGCUAUUCAAUGAAUUAUAUAUAAAAGCAGCCCCCAGGAAUACAACCUACUCCAUGUACUGCUUAGGGAAGCCCAAUAUUUACAGAUUCAUUCAGUGGCACAGCAUACCUGUAAAGUAAGACCAUCAUUCCCAUUUUACUAAUUAGGAACAGGCUGAGGUCAGUUAGGGAAUUUACUCAAGGUGCCUUAGCAAGAGUAUCAGUGAAAAGACCUGAACUCCCAAACCUGUGCUCAACAUCACGCCACCAUCCCGUUCUAGAACUUGACUCCCUUGGCUCUCAUGCCUUUGAUCUUUAAGAUCUAUCUAGCCAAGCCCUAGCCUUCUUCUUUAAAUGCUUCCUCUCAAAACAGAACUCUCUCAUGUCUCAAAGUUUCAACUACAAAAACAAUCACAGAUGACUCAACUCUCACUUUCUGGAACUCCUCUCUCUCAAUCCAAAGGCCAACAUCGGAAGCUAAAUGCAGUAACACAUGAUCUUCCCAUAGAAUGUCAGAAGGAUCUUAAAAUACAAGAUGAGCCACUUUCCUAUUAAAUUUUUCUUAUCACUUGAACCAUCACCAAGUGUUCUGGAUGCGGUAAGUACUGGUAUGUCACCGGAAGAGUGAAUUUAACUAUAAAAGGAAGCACACAGUUGCCUGGGAAGGUCUCUGAACCCUUCCCUUCCUCCCCAGGUUAGCGGCAGCAGAGCAGCAGACCCCAUGCAGUGGAUAGCAGCACCAGACCGGGCUCGGGCUGGCCAGGCUUACUCACCUGUAG